AUUAAAAUAGUUUAAAGAAAACGUUGAUUUGUGGUGUCAAAGAUUUAUUAUUAUUUUAAUU
rnacentral:tRNA from 1 species